rnacentral:rRNA from 1 species
UACGGAGGAUGCAAGCGUUAUCCGGAAUUAUUGGGCGUAAAGCGUCCGCAGGUGGUUUUUCAAGUCUAUUGUCAAAGUGCGAGGCUAAACUUCGUAAAGGCAGUGGAAACUGAGAGACUAGAGUUUGGUAGGGGUAGAGGGAAUUCCCAGUGUAGCGGUGAAAUGCGUAGAUAUUGGGAAGAACACCGGUGGCGAAAGCGCUCUACUGGGCCUGAACUGACACUGAGGGACGAGAGCUAGGGGAGCGAAAGGG